AGCAAAAUUGCUGGAUCAUAUGAAUAUGUUUAGUUUUGUAAGAGACUGCCAAACUGUCUUCCAAAGUGUGCUACCAUUUUGCAUUCCCCCCAGCAAU
rnacentral:pre_miRNA from 1 species